AAAUAGCCCUGAUAGUAGUGGAAAUCCUUUUAUGUUUUUCAUAAAACAUAAAAGAUUGAAACGGAUAGCAGGAAUAGCU
rnacentral:sRNA from 1 species